rnacentral:rRNA from 1 species
UACAGAGGGGGCAAGCGUUGUUCGGAAUUACUGGGCGUAAAGGGCGCGUAGGCGGCCUGUUAAGUCGAACGUGAAAUCCCCGGGCUCAACCCGGGAACUGCGUCCGAUACUGGCAGGCUUGAAUCCGGGAGAGGGAUGUGGAAUUCCAGGUGUAGCGGUGAAAUGCGUAGAUAUCUGGAGGAACACCGGUGGCGAAGGCGGCAUCCUGGACCGGUAUUGACGCUGAGGCACGAAAGCGUGGGGAGCGAACAGG